UUUCCAUCUCUCUCUCCUCUUUCCCCAUCUUCCUCUCUUUCUUUCUCUUGUUUCAAAUGAACCGGACUCCUUUCUUCUCCAACUUCUCAAAUCAGCCACAAAUCCCACGCCACCCCACCCCACCCACCAACCACCGAACCACCGAACCUACCCACCGAACCUUCCUCUCUUUCUUUCUCAAAUCAGCCCCAAAUCCCACGCGACCCCAUCAAACCCAUCAACCACCAACCACCAAACCAUCAAACACCCCGCAAAUCACCAACCACCAAGUCGCCGCCGUUCAAGGCUACGCAAAUCGAAAACCUUGUCUUUUGUUAUUGGGGAUUUAUUUGUUUUAAUUUGUGAUUUGUUUUGAUUUUGGGAAUUCCGUUUUUUGUUAGUAUUAUUUGGGGAUUUUGGGGAUGUAGAUCUGAAUUGUGGUUCCAUGUGUUUGAUUUUGCAGGUGGUGGAAGUUGUUGCUACCGCUACCGUUGCCGCUGCCUUCUUCGCCGUACGAACUAUUGGGUGCGGACCUAGUAGUUUGUGUAUAAAUUAAAGUAUCUUAUUCACGGGCUACCCAGUUAUUGGACAUCAAAAUAAGAUGCAGGCUUCCGCAAGUUGUCUAAAUAAAAAUAAUAUUGUUGAUGGUUAUUGUGGAUGGGAUCCAAGAAUAAAUGGUCAUUCUUUUACUAGCAAUGGCUUUACUUUGCCUUUAAACAAGGUAACAAGCUUCAUUCAAUACCUAAAAAAAUUGGUUGAUAUGGACCCUUCAUCCUUUUGUGGCAUUGAAUUUCACUUGGGUAUCCUAAUGAGGUAUGUCAAGGUUUCCUCGGCUUAUCUUGGAAAAGACGAGGAUGGAGUAGACUUUGAUAUUGCCUAUUAUAUAUCGACCUAAAGAAGAGUUGGGGCCUCGGCUCAAUGAGGACAUAAUGGAAGAAAUCGAGCAAUUAGCAAUUUUUAAGUAUGGUGGCGUGCCACACUGGGGUAAAAAAACGCAAUGUAGCGUUUGAAGGUGUGAUUAUAUUAGUAAGUAUAAGGAUGGAGAAAAGUUUUUAAGGGUUAAGGAAAGGUAUGAUCCUUUGGGAUUGUUUUCAAGUGAAUGGACUGAUCAAGUUUUAGGAUUAAAAGAGGGAAUAAUCAUAAAUAAAACAGGUUGUGCACUUGAAGGAUUGUGUAGAUGUAACACAUACAAUGAUUGUGGGACGGGGUACACUUGUGAAAGUGGUAAAGUUUAUGACGAGGCUAAAGUUUGCAAGAAGAAGAGAAGCAACCUUAUUUUUGAUUAUUGCUUGAUUGGAUGAUUAUCAAUAAGGCAAAAUUUAAUGGAUGUGAAGUUUGUAAUUAUAAUAUCAAUGUGACUAAUACUAGAUGGAUGUUGUAUUUUUUUAUUUAUUUAAAUUUAAAAAUAUGUUUGUAAUGAUUUGUAAGACUAAGUACAAGUCAAUGUAUAUGUAAAUUGGUGUUAAUCCACGACCGAUGAUGUAUAUGUAUGUUAUUAUCCAUGCUUGCUCCUGUAUAUAUAGAUGAUUGUUUUUCCUGGA